UUUUUUUAGAUUAGGUCUCCUACACCCCAGACUGAUUUCCAAACUGCCCAGUGGGUGAGGGUGACCAUGAACUCUUGAUCCUCUCCCAGAUCUGCUGGGAGCUCAGGGAUCAAAAAGUAUGCUUCCUUGUACUGGGCUCAAAGUUCCAGAUUUGCAAGAUUAAAGUUUAUCUUGGAAUAGCUGCCAAGCAGAGCACUCCACCCUGGGCUGGAGUCAAAGGUCAGUGCUGAAGUGCUUGCUCCACAUCGUGAUGCUCCAUUUCUGACAAAAAACCGAGCCAAAUCCACCACUUGCUACAGAAAUUCACUUAGGGGGGCUGGAGAAAUGGCUCAGUGGUUAAAAACACUGCCUGCUCUUCCAAAGGUCCUGAGUUCAAUUCCCAGCAACCACAUGGUGGCUCACAACCAUCUGUAAAGAGGUCUGGCGCCCUCUUCUGGCCUUCAGGCAUACAGACAGAAUAUUGUAUACAUAAUAAAUAAAUAAAUAAAUAUUUUUAAAAAAUAAAAAUAAAUUUAUCAUAAAAAAAUCAAUUAUGUGUAUGUGUCUGCAUGUGGGUAUGCGCACAUGAGCGCAGGCACCUUCAGGGCCCGCGGUAUCAGAUGCCCAGGGGCUGGCAUGUCUGCUGGAUGUGGUGCUUUGUGUGCUCUUGUGGGGACGUGGACGCAAGCAUGCACAGCAUAGCUCUGGAAGCAGAAGAAACUGCGUGUGUGUCCUCAUUUUCUUUCAGAGAGGGCCUCUCAUUGCCUGGACCUGCAAGUGGGCAGGCUGCUCGGAGGGACCUGCCUAUCUCUGCCUCCCCUUCACCAGCACUGGUUAUAGGCCGACACCACCUCACCUGGCUUAUGUGGGUUCUGGGAUUCUGAACUCAGUCCCAUAUAUUUGCAAGGCAAAGGAUUUUCUAACUGAACCAUUCCCCUAUUCCCUACAUUUUUUUUUGUUGGUUUUUGUUGUUGUUGUUGUUUGUUUGUUUUUUGUUUCUCAAGACAGGGUUUCUCUGUGGUUUUGGAGCCUGUCCUGGAA